CAAUAGCGUAUAUUAAAGUUGUUGCAGUUAAAAAGCUCGUAGUUGGAUUUCUGAUCGAGACAUCAGGUCGGGUCCGAGAGGAUCAUGUACUUUGAUUUUGUUUUGAUCAUCCUUGGGGAGAGCAUUUCUGGCAUUCAGUUGUCGGGAUUGGGAUCCUCAUCGUUUACUGUGAAAAAAUUAGAGUGUUCAAAACAGGCCUCGGCCUCUGAAUACAUUAGCAUGGAAUAAUAAGAUAGGACUUUGGUGGUCUAUUUUGUUGGUUUGCACGCCAAAGUAAUGAUUAAUAGGGAUAGUUGGGGGUAUUCGUAUUCAAUUGUCAGAGGUGAAAUUCUUGGAUUUAUGGAAGACGAACUACUGCGAAAGCAUUUACCAAGGAUGUUUUCAUUAA
rnacentral:rRNA from 1 species